rnacentral:rRNA from 1 species
GAUUUCUGGUAUGACUUACCUGUCCCGCCACGGUAACGUGUGUGAGUGACGGUGUGAGUAGGCCAUCCUUCUAGAUGGUCAUAGUGGUGCAAACUAUUAUGGUUGGUCUAGAUCGUUUACUUUGAAAAAAUUAGAGUGUUUCAAGCAGGCUAUAUUGCUAUGAAUACAUUAGCAUGGAAUAAUAAUUUAGGACUUCGGUUCUAUUUUGUUGGUUUCUAGGACUGAAGUAAUGAUUGAUAGGGACAGUUGGGGGUGCUAGUAUUCAGUGAGAAAGGGUGAAAUCUUUGGAUUCACUGAAGACUAACUUAUGCGAAAGCAUU